rnacentral:rRNA from 1 species
UACGUAGGGGGCUAGCGUUAUCCGGAAUUAUUGGGCGUAAAGAGCUCGUAGGCGGUCUGUCGCGUCUGCUGUGAAAACUCGGGGGCUUAACCCCGGGCCUGCAGUGGGUACGGGCAGACUGGAGUGCGGUAGGGGGAGAAUGGAAUUCCUGGUGUAGCGGUGAAAUGCGCAGAUAUCAGGAGGAACACCAGCGGCGAAGGCGGCGCUCUGGGCCGGAACUGACGCUGAGGCGCGAAAGCGUGGGGAGCAAACAGG